rnacentral:rRNA from 1 species
CAGGCGGCCUGUUAAGUACAGAUGUCGAAAGACCCGGGGCGUUAACCUCGGAAUUAGCAUUUGUAAACUGGCAGGCUAGAGGUCUUGUAGACGGGGGUAGGAAUUUCAGGUGUAGCGGUGAAAUGCGUAGAGAUCUGAAGGAAUACCAGUGGCGAAGGCGGCCCCCUGGACAAGACUGACGCUCAGAUGACGAAAGCGUGGGGAGCAAACAGGAUUAGAUACCCCUGGUAG